rnacentral:rRNA from 1 species
UCCAGCAGCCGCGGUAAUUCCAGCUCCAAUAGCGUAUAUUAAAAUUGUUGCAGUUAAAAAGCUCGUAGUUGAAUUUCUGCUAAAAAUAACCGGUCUGCUUUUAAUAAAGGUGGUAUCUUGGUGUGUUUUUAGCAAUAAUGUCCUUUGAAAUGUUUUUUACUUCAUUGUAAUAAAUUAUAUUUAGGAUUUUUACUUUGAGAAAAUUAGAGUGUUUCUAGCAGGCUAAUGCUUUGAAUACUGCAGCAUGGAAUAAUAAAAUAGGAUUUUGGUUCUACAUUAUUGGUUUUAAGAGCUAAAUUAAUGAUUGAUAGGGACAGUUGGGGGCGUUGUAUUUAAC